CGCCUCUUGCUAACCCAGAAUAAGAGGUCCCACCUGCCCAGUGACUAUAAGUUUAACGGCCGCGGUAUUUUGACCGUGCAAAGGUAGCACAAUCACUUGUCCUUUAAAUGGGGACCUGUAUGAAUGGUAUGACGAAGGCUAAGCUGUCUCCCCUCUUAAGUCAAUGAAAUUGAUCUCCCCGUGCAGAAGCGAGGAUACAAACAUAAGACGAGAAGACCCUAUGGAGCUUUAGACACCAGAGCAGACCACGUUAAAAAACCCUAACACACAGAAAAAACUAAAUGGAUGACCGUUCAAAUGUCUUUGGUUGGGGCGACCACGGAGUAUCAAAAAACCCCCGCGUGGAACAGAAACACACACCGUUUCUGAGACUAAGAGCCCCCACUCGAAGUCCCAGAAUAUCUGACCAAAAAUGAUCCGGCAACGCCGAACAACGGACCCAGUUACCCUAGGGAUAACAGCGCAAUCCUCUUCCAGAGUCCAUAUCGACAAGAGGGUUUACGACCUCGAUGUUGGAUCAGGACAUCCUAAUGGUGCAGCCGCUAUUAAGGGUUCGUUUGUUCAACGAUUAAAGUCCU
rnacentral:rRNA from 1 species